rnacentral:rRNA from 1 species
CCUACGGGGGGCUGCAGUGAGGAAUAUUGGUCAAUGGACGAGAGUCUGAACCAGCCAAGUAGCGUGAAGGAUGACUGUCCUAUGGGUUGUAAACCUCUUUUAUAUGGAAAUAAAAUGUCCUACGUGUGGGAUUUUGUAUGUACCAUAUGUAUAAGGAUAGGCUAACUCCGUGCCAGCAGCCGCGGUAAUACGGAGGAUCCGAGCGUUAUCUGGAUUUAAUGGGUUUAAAGGGAGCGUAGGUGGAUUGGUAAGUCAGUUGUGAAAGUUUGGGGGUUAAACCCAGGAUUGCAGUUGAAACUGGCAGUCUGGAGUACGGUAGAGGUGAGCGGAAUGCGUGGUGUAGCGGUGAAAUGCGUAGAUAUCACGAAGAACUCCGAUUGCGAAGGCAGCUCACUGGACUGCAACUGACGCUGAGGCACGAAAGUGUGGGUAGCAAACAGGAUUAGAUACCCUUGUAGUC